rnacentral:snRNA from 1 species
CAGUGCUUACAGCUCUUUCCGAAUUUGUCCAGCAGGUCUUCCGGCUUUUAUUGGACGGCCCUA